ACGGAGAACUAAGUAGAAAAUGUAAAGCUAAAAGCAGAUUUCUGAAGAAAUUUAUUUUUUAUUAUGACAGAUAACUCAAUAAACUGUUUACAACAUUGUCAUUUAACUUCAAAUAUAUAUAAAAUCUAAAUGGAGGCGACUACCGACACCAGCUUGAGUCAUGUCCUAGACAGAACAUGGUUAUGUCUCUGGUUCCUUUUAGGAUUUCACGUGUGCUGAGACGGAAUGUCUGGCGUGCUCUGGUGUCACUGGAGUCUGUCUGGCCGGACGCAGAGCUUUGUGCACAGCACCAUCUCUGGGUGAAGGAAGCAGAAGUCCUCAGUGGCCCCAGCUGCGCUGCCAGCUUUGUGUCAGACACCAAAUGUAAGCUUAAACCCACUGCUGCAGACAUGAAGACAGAGAGAAGAUGCACCCAAACGCUGGCAGCGACUGGGCAGGUAAUAGAUCUGCUCCAAAAAGACGAGCAAAACAUCCUGAAAAUGCAGGACGAAACCAGAUAUGUUGAUUUCGAGUCCGAGGACGAGAAGGUCUGUCGCUUUGGUCAGAGGAACCAAGUGUCUGUCAUUGCUAAAAACGGUGGAUUGGAAGCUGUUUGCGCGUCGGAGCCAAACUCUGACCUGAAGGAGAUGCACACCAAGGAGGGAGGAGAAAGCACCAGAGGUGAGAAAUGCAUGAAAGUUGUGAGAAAUCUCCCCUCUCCAUCAUCCUCACCUUGCCUGAAAAAAACUGAGACUAGCCUACAAAUAGGAGAGAAAAGUGGUGAGAGUGCAUUUACGCACACAAACGUGUCCAAAGGCAUGGGCAGCAAGGCAGAGCGAGAGGAGGAAUCCCAUAGCACCAACAGCUAUCUGAGUGGGAGAAGUGAGUGUGAGGACUGUGAGGAGGUGGAUAAUGUCAGCCUGGUGCUCUCUGAUGAAUCCGCUCUAUCCUUAACCGAGGAUCAUUACAUUACCACACAUGAGAUUCAGCUCUCGGAGUUCUCUGACCAUGAAGGGGACUACGACCUGGGUGUGGGCUCCUCCACUAGCUGGGACAUUGAAGAUGAGAGCCAGAUGUACCCAUUUGUAGGCUACUCCUUUGCGGGUGAGAGGGGGGCUUGUGGGGCGCCCUGCACCAAGGGCGCCGCGGCAGUAGCAGCAGCGGUCAGCACUCUGCUUGAAAGUGAUCUGAGCGAUGCGGCCAAGUUCUGCGGCUCAGAUGAUCCCGAACAGAAGCAGGGUGAAGGACAGAUCCACCUGUCAAUCAGAACCACAUCCCGAGCUAUAAAUACCCCUGGCAGCAUCCAAGAGGAGGAAAAUAUCCUUUAUCAUGCUAGGCGCUCCGGAGACAUGAGCCGCUAUGUUUUCAGGGGAGUGGAUGGGAAGGCAGAGACCUUGUGUGACAGGGCGAAGUGUUUCAUAGCCGCACCCGGACGCCCGCACGUUGGCGGCAGAUUGAGGGGGAAAGAGGUCACAGAGUAUUCCAGCGGCACGUCCAGCGCUGUCAGCGAGCUGGACGAUGCUGACAAGGAGGUGCGCAACCUCACAGCCAAAGCCUUCAAGAGCUUGGCCUACCCUUACUUUGAAGCCAUCAAUUUCAGCACCUCCAGUGAGUCCUCUGCAUCAGAGCAUGGCCGGAGGAAAAACACGUGGUCCACAUUUCUGGAUCUGAAAUAUGGCAAUGUGAACAUGUCUCAGGGGCUGGACCAAAGUGUGAUUUCCUGUCAAAACCCUGCGGCCUCAUAUGAAAUAGGCAAAAACAGCGACAACAGAGGUUAUAAGGGCACCAGUCAGCCCACAAGUAAGAUCUUUGCUCUGAAAGCCAACCCCCGCAGCGCCUCGUCAUCAAAGCAGAUCCAGCUGAUGGGAAAGUUUGGGCAGGGCCACAGCGGAGUGAUCAGACUCACAGAGACUCUGAAUUUUCAUUGCAAUGUCAAAUCGGGAAUGUCUGGGGAAGAAAGGCGCACUAACUUUGCGCAAAACGCAGCGGGAUCACGUUCCACGGAUGAUAUUACCAAGAGCCUGCAGAGCAGCCAGCAGAGAGGGGCCGGCAAGCUGCCCUCUAAAAUCAUGGAAGACACGCAUAAGAAAGCCAUAUUCGCCUCCAGUUUGUUAAAAAAUGUUCUUUCUAAGAAGAUGCAGUUUGAGCAGGAGCGCAGGAUGGAGAGGGGUGAGAUCAGCGAGCCACACCAGGCGCCGUCCCCGGGCUUUGUGCUGCAGGAGAGCAACAAUAAGUGGAAGGGGAACAGGGAGCUGGAGAGGCAGAGCUCCAAGUUCUCUGAGAGCGGCUGCGACUAUGCCAUAAUGUGCGUGGAUGAAUUAGGGGACUUUGUGGACAGUGGCUCAUGUGAUAGUAAGAGGCAAGACGCGUGUGCUCCCACAACAGACACUAAUUUAAACUCGGCCAAUGAAGCUGGGAUUGAUACUAAAAAAGGCGCAUUGCAUCGCAGCCAAAAUAGCGCGUUCAGAUGCUGGAAGGACGAGGAGCUAGAGUUUCAAAAGGAUCAUAAAAACCAUCAAACUCUGCUGGACAAGCUGCCUCCAGCUGAUGACAAAGAAAGUGAGUGGGAUCCGUUCUCUGCAGGCUGCGGUAAACUGACUAAAAUGUCUCAUUUGUUUGUGCCAAGUAUCCAACUGCUACCCAGUGACAGAGAGGUGCGCCCGCAGCUGCAGAGAGGAGCUUAUUCCUGGAAUGGAAGCAAUACUUUAUACAUCACGGACUCCAGGAGCUCAAAAUCAUCCAAAUCACCGGAAAUUAAAAUCAACCUAAGAAGCGUUAGAGACAAUAAAACGGAAGAGUUUGGAGGCUCCAAGCAGCGCGCCUCGAAUAUCACCGCUAGCCCAUCAAGUCUGAUCAGAACAGAGGACUUCAAAUGCCAAGCCCUGGCUGCGGCUCUGAAGGGUGAGUCCUCAGAUAAAGUUCCGCACUUUAUGGUUCGAGACAUCAGAGAUAAUAAAGGGAAGUUACAAACUCCCAUACACCAAGUCAGAGAUGUGCGUAAGCUGGUUAAAAGUUCCUACCACUUUGUUUCCUUGGAUAAGAACGAAAAUAAAUCAAAUUCCUUUAGCUCUGAAAUUCAUUCAGAGCAAAAAAAACAGAUGCAAAAUAGUAAUCCUAACUGUGUGUCCCCCAUGGUGAUAAAAUGUCAGUCUGUAAAUACUAAUAAUGCAGAAAAACCUACCGGAAACCUUAAACAGGAGCAGUCUGACACAUGCAGAUCGUCUCCAGAGGGUGUUAAGAGUGCUCUACCCCAGAAGGCAUCAGGGAGAGCAGCAAAUACCUCAAACAACUCAGAGGGAAGCACUGGGAUGAGCAAUGAGGGCAAAACAGGUGCAACAAGGCAAGAAACAGUGUCAGAGACGGCAGAAAAUAAACCGGAGUCAAAAGUCACAAAUCAAGUGGCUUUGGAGAAACUCCAGGCCGCAGUGAAAACCAUGGAGCAACUUUAUGUGUUUGAUAAAAAUGAGUGGAGGAGAAAGAGUGAGCCUGAGCGUCUGACGGACAGCCAUGUGCUGUCACUGAUAGCCAGUGAAGAGCAGCAAGAGUCUGAGGAAGGAGGAGGGAGAGGGUUCAAUACAGACAAAGCAGUCAGAAGAGAUUCCUACCCAAAUAUAGACAAGACCCCCCUGGCAUUAUCAGCGCCCUCCAGCACUGACAGCUCCUUAAGGUGGCUAGAUAAAGACCUACUUAAAGUGCUUCAGUCAUCCAAUAGCCAUGAUGAAAGGUUGGUCACUAAGACAGUCCAAACAGUUGGCACCAUAGGGAGCAAGAACAUGUCCAGCUUUAGCUCCAAACCCAAGGCCUACAAAGCUGCUGAUGUUCCUCAAUCAAACACCACCCCACACACACCUUUCAGUGGCAAACGCUUUGCACCAAAGUCUCCUAAAUUGCCUGUGUCAUUCAAAACCACUCAGACAGGAGUUAGUGGGAAGAAAGAUGCUGAACCAAAGGGAGUGAACCGAUUUGAGCAUCAGUUUUCAGGUGCAUCGGUUGACAAUGAGAACUACCUAACCAUCCCGGUCAAAUUUCAGCCCAACAACAGUAAAAUGGCCGCAACUGCAGAUAAAACCUCAAUAAAGACUCUUCACCAUCAAUCACUGCCAACCCCUCCUACAGUACAUGAAGAUUGUGCCUCUAGAGUCCAGGAGGACUACGGUCAGAGGACAAAACGUUCCAGUAUUGUAAUGGAGACCCAUUCACCAGAGAUCCCCUCUGCUACUAUUUAUCACUCCCUACCAAUGGCUGUGUCUGCCAAUCAACCACAAAUGUAUUGUUUUUCCCCAGCAAUCACUCCAGCCCCCACCCUGGACCCCUUUCAGGCGACACAGAGGAAAAUGCUGCUGGAUCCCACCACUGGAAACUACUACCUGGUGGACACGCUGGUGUCCCCAGCCACAAAACGUCUUUUUGACCCAGAAACAGGCCAGUACGUGGAUGUACCCAUGCCACAGCCUCCGGUGACACCAGUACCAAUGCCUAUAUCGCCGCUAGCGCUCAGUCCUGGAGCAUGUGGUCAUACCUACAUGAUCUACCCUGGCUUUAUGACAACCCCUUCAGUGAUACCUCCUCGAACGCUGGUACAGUCACAGAUGUCCGUGCCAUCAGAGGUAGAGGGCGUAGAGAAGUCUUCCUCACAGCCGUCUGAAGGAAUGUACAUGGAGAGUCCUUUCUAUAUUGCAACUGGGAAGCCUCCCCAGGCAGCUUCAGAGGCUCAACAGCAUGGUGCCCCCAACAGGCCACAGCAUGGAUGUUCCAGCAUGAACCAGCCAGUCAUCAGCAUCACCUCCCAGCAAGGGCCAAGGAUCAUUGCCCCACCCUCGUUUGACGGGACCACCAUGAGUUUUGUGGUAGAGCACAGAUGAGUCGCUAAGCUGGACAGGGGCCCUUGAUGAUCCUGGUCCCAGUAUGAAGUCCAGACGGAGAGUUCUGUGGAGGUAGAUAGAAGAGGCUGUGGUGAAGGGCGGUCAGGACUGGAGCUUUCGUGAUCAUUGGCCACCAUUGCCAUUGGUUUAUCCUCUUCAUUGUUUUACACUGAUGUUAAGUCUGCUGAGCAAUUUAGUUGUUCAGGUAUUCUAUCUAACUGCUGCUGCUGAACCUUUUUUGACUUUCUACAAGAUUGUAGUUCAUGCUUUUUUUACACCACUGCUAAACCAAGAAUGAAUGCCUUUGAAGGGAUUCUUUACCCACUCCUGAAACUAAAUAGAGUAUGAUUUGGAAAAAAAAAAUUUCCAAAUCAAAAUAAAGAUUGAUUUAUCUAAUUUCUUUUAAUUUUAAAAAUAGAAGAAACUAUUUGUUUUGAAGAAACUACUUUAUACAGUUAUGAAUCCAAGUACCUGUUCCCUGUUAGAUUUUGCUGAAUUUACCAAAGAGUUUUUACAACUUUAGUUGUUAUGAUGACUUCUGUGUUGGUGCUUUAUGAUGCACACAAUGUGUUGAUUCAAAGCUCUUUAUGUGCAUAAUUUACAAUAUUGCACAUUUUUUAAAAGCUAAAGUUGGAAAAAAAAUUUAUGUGACAUGUCUUUUGUUUGUAUUGGUUUCUUUGAGAAUGUGGAGCUGCUGGACAGUCCUUGUUAAUACAUGUCAGGCAUCAUUGUUAUUCCAGAUUUUUCUUUUAUAAUGAAUGGUAUGAGUAACUGACAGUGAUGAAUGCAUUUAUUAUGAGAGCGCAAGCUGUCUUAUUGAAUUAUAUUUCAUUCUCAUUUUUAGAAAUUUCAUCUUGCCAUUUGUUUUCUUUGUGUCUUUUAAGGGAAGAUUUAUACUUUGUACAUAGUUUAUUUUUCCCAAAGUAUGCCUGAUAGUGGUAAAUUUUUUAAAGUCUUACACUUUCAGGGGUAAGUGGAAGUAGGGUUUGCAAGACAAGAAAAUGAAUACCCGAGACUUUGUGAGGGAUGUGUGGGUGAAGAGUGGAGGGACUUUGUAGAAGUAGGGUAAAAAGCUGGACAUGACGCAUUAUGUUUUCACUUUGUUCAACUGAUUUUUUUGUUUUGUUUUGUUUUUCUGCAUAAAAAAUGACUUCACAAAGUUAGGUCUUGACUUUGCAACUGUGAAGAUGGUAUAUGUUGAAAUACAUCAUUAAAACAGUACUUUUGAACUGUAAAUGUUUUUUACAUAUUCAAAAUGUUAAAUUGAGGUUGUUUCUGCUCUUAUGUUGUACUUUAUUAUGACACAAAAACAAACAUUUCUCCAGUUAUGUUUCUGCAGUCACUUGUUGACUGACACAUGAAAUCAGUGGUGGUUCUUUCAGAAAUAGUUCCCUGGCCAUAGCCCCUCCUAAUGCUAUCCUCAACCAAUUCAAACUAAAGCAAUUAGAUGAUUUUCCAGCAGAAAGCUUGUAACCUAUAGUUUCCAGUACUCAGUCAGAAGCAAGUAAAAUUACAUUCAUACGACUUGUUCAGGGCACAACUGAUAGAUAAGAUCUAUCUUAUUUUGUACUUUUUACAUGCCUGGCCCCCCUUUCUAAUGCCGCCCUGGCAUUACACUGCCUCUUUUACACUUUGGGCCCAUUAGUUUCAAGUGGGAAUCAUCUGUUAAUUUCAAGUGAGCAGGAUCCUGCUGGUCACCAUAUACUGUUACUAUGACCAUCAUGUAGCCAUUUUCUGAUGACAACAUCCAGCUGGAUAAUACAGCAUUUCACCAAAGCUCAAAAGAGCUCAAACUGGAUUCUAGAACACGUCAAUAACAGUGUUUCCAUCGAGGUUUUUUUUAUAUGCAUUUUAAAGUAUCGCAUUAGAGUUGAUGGAAAAGGAAAAUUUUCAAAAACAUCCUCAAUUUUGCAAAAGGUUUUCACGAUCGCUUGAAGUGGUUUUUGGCUUUUACAAAAAAUAGCUAAUAUCCUAAGGGGAGAUGAAAACAGAUUUGCUGAACAUCUGUCAUAGCAAACUUACCUGUACACUGAUAAGUCUGUGCCUUAAUUGAGGCACAAAACUUGGAAAAACUUCUACAUCUUGUUACAGCCAUGCGUAAUGCCACAUUCUGACUAAAUCACGCUCUGAAGAGCCUGGAGUCUUAUUUUGUACUUCUUAGAUGCCUGGCCCCCUUUCUAAAGGGCUUGCUCCAAACCAGUAAAUGAAAACAUGCCUAAUUCAUAUUUUCUUUUCUUUUCUUUUUUUGCUACAUUUUAAAAGUUUGCUCAAAAAUUGCAUGACCAUAGAAAACCAGGGUUUAUAAGUUCAGUGGACUCCAGUCACCAGAUCUCAAUGAAAAAGAGAAUGUGGUGGAACAGGAGGAUCUCAUUACAGAUUUUCAACUAAACAUUCUGCAGCAAUUGUAUCAUGCUGGUAUGUCAAUAAAGACCAAAUCUGCUUUGACACUGCAA